CGGGGCAGGGCCUGGGUUGCAGU
rnacentral:misc_RNA from 1 species